rnacentral:piRNA from 1 species
UGGAAUACUAGAACUUUGUUGAUAACAUGUU